rnacentral:rRNA from 1 species
GUGUCAGCCGCCGCGGUAAUACGGAGGGAGCUAGCGUUGUUCGGAAUUACUGGGCGUAAAGCGCGCGUAGGCGGUUUUUUAAGUCAGAGGUGAAAGCCCAGUGCUCAACACUGGAACUGCCUUUGAAACUGGAAAACUUGAAUCUUGGAGAGGUCAGUGGAAUUCCGAGUGUAGAGGUGAAAUUCGUAGAUAUUCGGAAGAACACCAGUGGCGAAGGCGACUGACUGGACAAGUAUUGACGCUGAGGUGCGAAAGCGUGGGGAGCAAACAGGAUUAGAUACCCGUGUAGUCC